UAUUUUAUUUGUUAUUUACACAGUACUUUUCUUUGCUCUUUACAAAUUUGUUUUAUUGGAUUUGUUGCCAAAAAUGAGUAUUUUUUUUUUAUAUAUUACACCUUUUUUAACUUUAGCUUCAUCGUCAUCUGAUGCAGUUGUUUUAUCAACAUCUGCCAGUGGCAAAUUUUUUCAGAUCUGUGUAGAGUUAAUGUCGAAAUUAAAGUUAUUUUGGUUAACUAUUUUACCUUUAGCUUUUUCACUAUCUGCUAUGGUGGUAAGUUUGAAAACUUUUUUUAAAAAACAACUAUGUAUAGAUUUUUUGGCAAAAACUAUGUAUGCUUUGUUCUUUACAAUUUUUUUUACCUUAUGCUUUAUCUACAUUGAGAACAUUUGGUAUGUUAAUCUUUUAUGAUUUAUCUAUUGUAUAAUACUUAGUCUUUUGAUUAUUGUUUAAAUCAUUACACAAACAUUUCUAAUGUUUCCUUCUUGUUUAGAUGCAGACUUACUAUUUCAUCAGUUUUUGAGAUUCCGUAAGUGAUAUAUGAUAGUGAUGUAUAGUGAUAUGAUAGUAGUGUAUAGUGUAUAGAUAUGAUAUGAUAGUGAUGUAUAGGUGUAUAGAUAUGAUAGUGAUGUAUAGGUGUAUAGAUAUGAUAGUGAUGUAUAGAUGUAUCGAUAUGAUAGUGAUGUAUAGAUGUAUAGAUAUGAUAGAUAAUAGUGACAUAUAGGGAUGACAUAAACAAUAUAAAUUUCAAUGUUAUUCAUAAUAAAAUAAACAUUUUGAUGCCUUAAAAGUUUUUUAAUACAAAAGAUAUCUUUUUUAUAAUCCACAGUUACUAAGUUUAAAAGCUAUUACUUUUUAAUCUCUGUAACAAUUUAAUGCCUAAAUCAAAUAUUUUUUUGGUUGAGUACAUCCUUUUCACAAAUAGUAAGUUUAAAACCUAAUUAUUUUUCAGCAGUGUUUUGAUUUUUCUAAAAAAGUCAUUUAUUUUGUUAAUUACAUUUUUUUUUUAUUUUUAGCUGCAUCUACAUCUGCUUUGGUUGGUAUGUUAAAAAACUAUUUCUUUGUUCGCAGUGCAUAGUCUAUCUCAUUAAGUUUAUACUAUAGAUUUAAUCCCAAUUUCAUUUUAUUUUUGUUGUUUACAUCAUUUUUUAACUUUAAGCUCCUGCAGCACAAUCUUCUGCAGGUUAAUGUAUAAAUUGAAAUAUUUCUUUAUGAUUGUUAUUCGUUUUUGAAAAACUUUAAUGCUUAUUUAUAUUUUAUAAAAGUAUUUUAUUUUAAACAAGCAAAUUCUAAAUAAAAGUUUUUAAUUUUUUUUUGUAAGGGUUUAUAUAAAAUGUUUCAUAAUGCUUUGAAAUCUUAACUAUCAGUGAAAAGAUGAAUUUAUACAAACACUUAUCUGCAAAACAACUUGAAGAUUUAGAUGAUGUGAUGUCUGAAAGAAUUGUUGGCAGAAAACUCUGUCAUAAAUGGUAUGAUACUGACUCAUCAAAAACUAUCAUUUACGAUGGUAGACUAGAAAAAGUAAGCAAAAAACAAAAUUAUAGGAUUUACUCUUUCUUACUGGAAACAAGAUAAAACUGAUAUUGAAGCUGUUGAGCAUAAGAUGAAAAAAAUCCAGCUAGCUGCUGAUGUUGUAUUAGAUGAGUUAACAUUUUCUUAGUUUGAAUAUGAAAUAAUGUAAAAAUGUUUGAAAAAAAGGUUCUGCAAGUUUUGUGGCUUGCAAACAAGUACUUCAAGGUUUGUGGAUUGCAAAUAGAUGCAGCACGUUUUGUGGUUUGCAAACAAGUACAACAAGUUUUGUGGCUUGCCAUUAGGUAAAGCAAUUUUUGUGGCUUGCAAAUAGGUACAGCAAGUUUUGUAGCUUGCAAAUAGGUACAGCAAGUUUUGUGGCUUGCAAUUAGGUACAGCAAGUUUUGUGGCUUGCAAACAAGUACUGCAAGUUUUGUGUCUUGCAAAUGCAAGGAAAUUACAAACGAAUAUCAAGUUAGUUAGAGUCUAAUGCUCAUGCAAUUAAAGCUGCUAUGGUAACCCUUUAAAUCUGAUAGUUACUCACUGAGCAAUAUAGUAUAAUAUUUUAAAUCAAAUUAACUGUGGAAAACGAAUUUCAAUAAACUGGUCAAUUUGCUUAUAUUUCGACAAACAACAAAGUAUAGAGAGUCUUCAACAAAACCUCAAAUUAAUGAUCAUAUUGCAAAUAUUGAAAGGCCUCUUCAUUGGUAAAUAAAUGUCAAACAAUAUGUAUGGAGAAUGCAAGCAAUUGUUAAGAAGUUAUAUUUAUUAUUGUUUAGUUUCUUUUUGUAUAUUUAUAGUAUAUACUAUACCUGUAAUCUUCUUGUAUAUUCAAAGUUUUUAGUAUUAUUUUGUAUAUUUAUUUAACUAUGUUUUAG